GUUGGAUCACUCGCGUUAGGGAGGAGGCACUGGGGGAACUGCCACGUAUGAAAAUGUUGCCUGCAAAGAGGUUGUUGAGCACCGUGGUCCCAGCAUAUCCACUGCUUUCGAUUAAGCCGACGCGGGGACUUGUAGACGAGAAGCUUCAGAUCGUCGUGAGGAAUUUAAGACCAAAACAAGACGUGACACUUCACUCUGUACAUCAGUCAGAAGAUAAGGAUUUUUGGGAAGCCUUCGGACACUAUGUCAGCGACGGCAACGGCACCGUGACCGUGGCAAAGGACGCCAGUCUGAGCGGCACCUAUGUAGGUGUGGAGGCCAUGGGCCUGAUGUGGAGUCUUCGGCCAGUGCCAGGGAGUCGAGCAGGACUGAGAUUCCGAAAGAAAGAUGUCCUGUCACCACUGGUAUUCCACAUUUCUGUGCAUGAUGGACAUGUUUCUCAGGGUUUUACUCAGCUCACGCCAUUAGAGAGCCUUGUUAUAGAGCGAUGGUACAUGGCUCCAGGUGUACGAAGAUUCGAUAUCAGAGAGAGAGGUGUUCGAGGAACUUUGUUCAUACCUCCAGGUCCUGGACCAUUCCCUGGUCUGCUGGAUAUGUGGGGAGGGGAUGGUGGGCUGGUGGAGUAUCCAGCCGCCCUCCUGGUUUCACACGGCUUUGUUUCAAUGGCACUGGAGUAUCUGACUCCUGGUGAAUUAAAAAAACUAAAGGCUGAUGUCAAUUACUUUGAGACAGUGUGUGUAGCUGUGUGAACCUCUCUAUGGCUGUCUACUCCAAAAUCAUUCAGCCCCAGUGUUGUGUGUGCAUCAGUGGCAGUCAUAUUCCAGUCAUCAAAAAGUCUUUGAAUGAAACCUUUGAGGACCUAAAGAAGUAAAAAAAGGUGUCAUGGAACGCUCGCUCCCCCGAGUCAAGUGGUUGGGCCAGCCACGUGUAGUGGGAGGAUCUGUUUGUGGCCACACCUGCACACACCUGCACCUUAUUUGUUUGUAUGUACUUAAACCCCGUGUUGAAGUGUGCAGAGUGUUGGUCAUUGUUGAUGUAACGUGUUAAUAUUCUUUUCGUCAAUUGUUAAUCGGAUUUGUGUUUAUCGUGUGUAAUACGUGUGAGUGCCGAAGUCGUUAUAUGUAAAUAAAUGUUCGUCCACGUCAUGGGAGUCUGUGCAUCCUGCCCCUCGCCCUGCGACACUCGGUGGCCCUUAGUGGUUGGUGGUGAUGAUCAGAACUGGUCCACUCUGGAUAUUACUGAAGAUGUACCUGUGAUCACACCUGUGUACAUCAUUUACAAUUCUAUAACACACAUACAUAACCCAUAGGACAACACAAUAUAUUACUUUACUUGUUAUAACAAGAUUCAGAUUUAAGUUACAUAGCAUCCAUUGCCACAUGUCUGUUAUAAUACACAUUCACACCAUUUUGAACCCAAAAAACUCUGGGUCCUCUUUUCAAUAAGGAAUGCCAUUUGUCCAGUAUUUCCAUAGAAGGCCAUAACCAAGAUUAAAAAAUAUUAUGUAACCUAGAGUAAUUUUCAUACCAGUUAUAUGAUAGGUUUAAUGUUAGCCCAUUUACUAAUACAUACACAUUGAAUCAACAAAGUGAUAAACCUGGAUUUUCUCAAUUUCAUGUAAAUUAGUUGUGAAGCCAGGUUGUCUUUGGUUAACCUGCCUAGCUAGCUGUCUUCCACACAGAUACACUGAGACCCCUCGCCAAGACACAUUAUGGGAAUCAAUCCUUAUGUCAGUCAUUGGGUCAAAAUGCUUCUUCUAAGUCACAAGUACUCAUGCUCUGGGGUGGAUAGGCCAAGCCACAUGCAGAUGCCCAAGAGGACUCAUGGGAAAAACCUCUGGCCUUUCUACAG